rnacentral:rRNA from 1 species
GAGGAAUAUUGGUCAAUGGACGAAAGUCUGAACCAGCCAUCCCGCGUGCAGGAUGACGGCCCUAUGGGUUGUAAACUGCUUUUCUACGCCAAGAAACCUGAUUACG